UACGAAGGGGGCUAGCGUUGCUCGGAAUCACUGGGCGUAAAGGGUGCGUAGGCGGGCCUUUAAGUCAGGGGUGAAAUCCUGGAGCUCAACUCCAGAACUGCCUUUGAUACUGAAGAUCUUGAGUUCGGGAGAGGUGAGUGGAACUGCGAGUGUAGAGGUGAAAUUCGUAGAUAUUUCGCAAGAACACCAGUGGCGAAGGCGGUUGGCUGGGGCAGUUGGCUGACACUGAGGCGCGACAGCGUGGGGAGC
rnacentral:rRNA from 1 species